rnacentral:rRNA from 1 species
GAUGAACGCUGGCGGCGUGCCUAAUACAUGCAAGUCGAGCGAACGGACGAGAAGCUUGCUUCUCUGAUGUUAGCGGCGGACGGGUGAGUAACACGUGGAUAACCUACCUAUAAGACUGGGAUAACUUCGGGAAACCGGAGCUAAUACCGGAUAAUAUUUUGAACCGCAUGGUUCAAAAGUGAAAGACGGUCUUGCUGUCACUUAUAGAUGGAUCCGCGCUGCAUUAGCUAGUUGGUAAGGUAACGGCUUACCAAGGCAACGAUGCAUAGCCGACCUGAGAGGGUGAUCGGCCACACUGGAACUGAGACACGGUCCAGACUCCUACGGGAGGCAGCAGUAGGGAAUCUUCCGCAAUGGGCGAAAGCCUGACGGAGCAACGCCGCGUGAGUGAUGAAGGUCUUCGGAUCGUAAAACUCUGUUAUUAGGGAAGAACAUAUGUGUAAGUAACUGUGCACAUCUUGACGGUACCUAAUCAGAAAGCCACGGCUAACUACGUGCCAGCAGCCGCGGUAAUACGUAGGUGGCAAGCGUUAUCCGGAAUUAUUGGGCGUAAAGCGCGCGUAGGCGGUUUUUUAAGUCUGAUGUGAAAGCCCACGGCUCAACCGUGGAGGGUCAUUGGAAACUGGAAAACUUGAGUGCAGAAGAGGAAAGUGGAAUUCCAUGUGUAGCGGUGAAAUGCGCAGAGAUAUGGAGGAACACCAGUGGCGAAGGCGACUUUCUGGUCUGUAACUGACGCUGAUGUGCGAAAGCGUGGGGAUCAAACAGGAUUAGAUACCCUGGUAGUCCACGCCGUAAACGAUGAGUGCUAAGUGUUAGGGGGUUUCCGCCCCUUAGUGCUGCAGCUAACGCAUUAAGCACUCCGCCUGGGGAGUACGACCGCAAGGUUGAAACUCAAAGGAAUUGACGGGGACCCGCACAAGCGGUGGAGCAUGUGGUUUAAUUCGAAGCAACGCGAAGAACCUUACCAAAUCUUGACAUCCUUUGACAACUCUAGAGAUAGAGCCUUCCCCUUCGGGGGGGCAAAGUGACAGGUGGUGCAUGGUUGUCGUCAGCCCGUGUCGUGAGAUGUUGGGUUAAGUCCCGCAACGAGCGCAACCCUUAAGCUUAGUUGCCAUCAUUAAGUUGGGCACUCUAAGUUGACUGCCGGUGACAAACCGGAGGAAGGUGGGGAUGACGUCAAAUCAUCAUGCCCCUUAUGAUUUGGGCUACACACGUGCUACAAUGGACAAUACAAAGGGCAGCGAAACCGCGAGGUCAAGCAAAUCCCAUAAAGUUGUUCUCAGUUCGGAUUGUAGUCUGCAACUCGACUACAUGAAGCUGGAAUCGCUAGUAAUCGUAGAUCAGCAUGCUACGGUGAAUACGUUCCCGGGUCU